GAUGAGGUGAGGUGGGCGGACUUGCUCGCGGCACUGCGGCUGCCUCCGGAACCGGGGCUGGGGGGGCGAGAGCCACCGACGGCUGGGAUGGGCGCCGAGGAAGCCGACGAGAGCGCCACCCUCCAUCCUCUUCUUAGAGCUUUCUGGACCCUGCGUUUCUCCACUCUGGGUUAUACAUUACAUCCAUCCCGGAAAUUAACGACUCGCGCUUCGUAAGAGCAGCUGAAAACCGCCCUUUCGAGAGGACACGUCCACGAGGCUCCGGUCCACGAGGCUCCCGCCCCGCUCGAGCUGAACACGUUCCCGCUCUGCCCACACCGCCCGCGCAGGGCGCCCUCACCCACCCCUCGACAGUGCCCCCGCGCCUCACAGCAGCCUGAGGAGUGUCCAGCUGGCCCCAACCCCAAUUGGCCACGGGCGCGGGGAGUCUGUCCCCGGAGAAAACUCCUGAACCGGAUUGGGGGCCUGCCGCUCAAAUAGCCCUAGAAAACGUCUCCUCUCUAGACCACUAGCUAGCGCCACCACUUCAGAGUGACAGCGCCGGGGGGAGAGGAAACGCCCCGGGCACUUUUCUCAAACUGCAAAGCUACCGCGAGAGGGCGGGGCGCCUGCGACCGGGAAGAGGGCCCGCAGGCCGGGGGUCUGCGCGAACCCAAGGAUGGGGCAGUAAGAAGGUGGUUACUGCUAGUUAAAAGUCAGGGGAGCAGAUCGUCCCGGCUCCGCCUGUGCGCCUCGGGCCGCCACGCCAGGAGUGUGGCCUGGCUGCACCCGCCCCAGGACGAGCGUCGCGGCUGAGACCCCAGGCUUCAUUCCCGGCGCCGGGAGGUAGGGCUCACCCUGCAGGGAGGAGCACCGGGGCAUCCGAUCCCUUCGCCCCGAAAGCGUGACCGCCACCGGGUAGCGCUCAAGCACCUCCGGGCCGCAUCCCCAGGACAGAAUGACAUUAAAGACCCGCCGAAGAAUAACUAGAUGGGGGCAGAUAGAUGGACGACUGGGUUCGAGUGCUGGAUGUUGCAAACCGAUCGGGAAACAGGUAUAAGAUUCCACUGCGCUGUGCUUCCUGCUAGUGGCCGAGCGCGACUUGAGGCAGAGUAGUUUCGAGACAGGAACUGAGAAGUCUCCUUUCGGCAAGGAGAUAAAAUGAAUCUUCAGGAUAUCUAAAAAAGGGGCCGUGCUCCAGGUAACAGAUAUGAAUUUCUCCAUAAUACUUGGGCUACAAAAAAAUGUGCCCCUGGAUCACUUCCUGGACUGGUACAAGUGAGCUUCUUUGUGCAGAGGAGAAAGCUGGCUCCUGGGAGAAGGUAAGGUCCACAAGGGUAGAUAUCCAGAAGAACUCCAAACUGAACAAUACUAGAACAUCUGGAUUAAAGAAGAGCUGUC